AUUGAACGCUGGCGGCAUGCCUUACACAUGCAAGUCGAACGGUAACAGGUCUUCGGAUGCUGACGAGUGGCGAACGGGUGAGUAAUACAUCGGAACGUGCCUAGUAGUGGGGGAUAACUACUCGAAAGAGUGGCUAAUACCGCAUGAGAUCUACGGAUGAAAGCAGGGGAUCACAAGACCUUGUGCUACUAGAGCGGCCGAUGGCAGAUUAGGUAGUUGGUGGGAUAAAAGCUUACCAAGCCGACGAUCUGUAGCUGGUCUGAGAGGACGAUCAGCCACACUGGGACUGAGACACGGCCCAGACUCCUACGGGAGGCAGCAGUGGGGAAUUUUGGACAAUGGGCGCAAGCCUGAUCCAGCAACGCCGCGUGCAGGAUGAAGGCCUUCGGGUUGUAAACUGCUUUUGUACGGAACGAAAAGCCCUGGGUUAAUACCCUGGGGUCAUGACGGUACCGUAAGAAUAAGCACCGGCUAACUACGUGCCAGCAGCCGCAGUAA
rnacentral:rRNA from 1 species